AUCACUUCUCGGCCUUUUGGCUAAGAUCAAGUGUAGAAAUGUAGGGGGAGAGAAGGGGAAUGUGCUGGAAGAUAGUCUCUCCCCAGUUUUUUUUUUUUUAAUUUUUUUAAUUUCCCCAAUACAUUAUUUUGUCCCUACUGUACAGCAUGGUGACCCAAU
rnacentral:snRNA from 1 species